GGUUGGUGGGGGUAGGGAGGGCCACGCGGGGGGGAGGGCGCCGCGCGCCUGUUGUGGGAUUCCGCGUGCCGCCGGCACGGAAAUAUAUAAUGCGUGCAUGGAGGGCUUCGUGCUGUAUGGGUUACUGCAUUUGUCCACCUGUGACCUCGUGCCCGCCCGCCCCGUUCAUGUAUGCAUGCCACCUCCCUUCCUCUCCCCUGCCCUCCCCCCACCUGCCCCUCUCCCCUGCCCUCCCCCCUGCCCUCCCCCCACCUGCCCCUCUCCCCUGCCCUCCC
rnacentral:lncRNA from 1 species